UUGGAGUCAGUUCCAUACAGAGUGGUGGAGGGAGAGGAAUGGACUGAGGAGCUGGGCAGAAACACCCAGCACAGGAGAAGGAAGAGUGGGUGAGCAGCGCCAGGUGAUUUCUGGAUGAGAGGAGAGCUUUUCUUGCUAAAAGAGGAACACCGGAUUCUCACCUUCACCACGUCCUGUCUAUUAAAAUCUGGAGCUGAGUGAUCACAUGGAGGAGCCCAGGCCCUACAAUAAAUGUCUGGAGGAGCCAGUUGCCGACCUUUCCCUCACAGCUUCCCCGGGGAUUCACAGCAGGAAACUUGGGCAACCUGGGAACUUCGCAGCCUGAGAGAGCAACGUGAUCCCUUUAAAUGAUAGCUCUGCUACCGGAGGGCAUUUGGCAUUUGACUCUACUUAAAAAUUCAUCCAGAAUUGAUACACUGCAUUUUUCAUUUCAAAAAUUGCAAUCAGGCAGCAAAGUCUGAGUGCUCAGACGAGAGUAAUAUCUUCUCAGCGCUCAUUAAUCUGAGUCAGUAAUGAACUGCAGCCGCGGCAGCAAAUUUCACCUCUGGAUGUGUGUGACCUCGAAGGCACAAGAAAAAUCCCUCUCAAUUACGCCGGACAGCUUGUAAACAGAUUUCCAAAUGCUCCCAGCCCCGUGUGCACGCACCAGGGCUUGAGCACGGCAGCAGCCUGGUCUCUGAGCUAUAGAUCAGGAGAGGCUCCUGGGCUGGAGCCGCUCGUGGCGCAGCAAUUUAGGUAAUAAGGUGGGGAACAUAAUAACGCAAGAGUUCAGCCUUGCAACUUCAUCUUUUUCCUCUCUCGCACCAGAGACCGGGGCGACGAGGAGAGCUCUGAUUUGCAAAGCUGAAUAAAACAAAAGCACAGAGGAACCUGGCUGGGCGUGCUGACCUUCUUUUCAGAUUUCAAGCAACUGGAAACUGGAUCUUGCUCAGAACUGGCCACGAUCCUUGUUUUCUCACGCAGAGCCAUUAACCUCUAACUCACUGAAUCAAGCAAGCUGUUAUUUGCUGGUAUUAGAAAAACCCCUCUGGCCUCCCUCAUUUUCUCCUGAGACACCUGAGAAUGGAGCCCAUCCCGAGGGAGAACAACCCCAAUAUCCAGAUGGGAGCUGUGCCACAAUGGGCAGCAGGGAAGGAGGAACUGGGGACCAAAGGUAAUGUUUUUGGCUGCAGUUCCCACAAGAAACCUUCGAACAGGG